ACCCUUCGGCGGAGAUCGAGGAACUGCUCCUGCUUCAGGUUGAGGCUCAGGAGUCGGCAAUAGGGAAGGCGAGGGAGCUGUGUGACUACGUGGAUGCGGUGUGCGACGCCGAGGAGGAGAGGGCGGGAGAGGUUCUUGUGGAUCUUCCGGUCUGGGGGAGCCCUAGGUGUUUGGUCGCGGCUCUAAUGUCCUCAUCAUUGUAGAAGAAGAAGUGGGGGAGAGGGGGGGAGGGAGAAAAGACUGAGAGGUUUGCUUAUUAGGUAACUCAAUUCUCGAGUUUAUUUUUUGAAAUCAGUCCUUCAAGUCAGUAGUAUAAUUAGGAAUUAGAUGGGGUUUUAUCGCCAUGCCUGUCUAUGCUCGAAGCAUUUCUUGAUCUCCUCCGUGGUUUCUGACGGGAGGUCAGCCCGGCCGGUUGAGCUGGAAGUGCCGGUUCUUUAGGACUGCUAAACAACUUGUAGGAUGGAGCAUGAACCCCAGCAGUUGUUGAAAGGCUAUAUUGGCUUUCGGCUCCAUAGGAUUACGUGGAGUGCGUUUAUGAUUGGUGUUGAGGUGAGAUGAUUGGAUUUGAGAUGAAGUUUUAGAAGACGGAUUAAUAGCUGGGCGUCUCAAAGUGGUGGUGUCUGGCGAGUCUUGUCUGAGAAAUUUCUGAUAUUUAUACUGGACUAGAGACUUGUCACAUAGUUUUAGUAAUCGUGGAAAAUCUUCUGUAACUAUGAGUUGCCUUAUAAAGUAAAUGGACGAUCCAGGAGGAGGUAUCUAAUCUUGCUUACUUUGAAUGGCAUGAUUAAUGUUCUUUGUAUUUAUUGAGAUAGAUGACACAGUUUGAUUUCAUUUUCUUUACUUUCUUUUGUGGUCGGUUACUAGGAUGCUACUGUCUAUGGUGCUCUAGCACCAUUCGCCCUGGUUUGAAAAUUGAAAUAUCGUAAAAUAAUGGCCUGAUUUUUAUA